UUUUUUUUUUUUUUUUUUCAUGUUAAGUAGGAAACUUCUUGUAAAUGUUAGGAAUUAUUAGAUCCCUCUGGACAUGGGAGCCUGGUCUUGAGAGCAAGGGCCUGCCUUUGGAGGGGAGGAGGGAACUCUUUUCUGAAACCAGAUAUUGGAAUAUAGACGGGGACAAGGGGUUUCUGAGGUGAGGGCUGAGAGGGAAAGGCCAGCCCUUUCUGGUCUCGGUGCCCAGGAAACCUAGAGUUAUCAGCUGUUGGGGUGAAGGGGAAAGGAAGGGGGGAGCCUGGCAAGUUUGUGGACAGAGAAUGAGAUAGUCACAAAAUGUUUGAACUCUUCCCUUGGGAGCAGUCCUCCUGUACUUGUUGCCCUGUUUCUAUCCACUUCUAGCCUUCCCACAGCAUCCCACUAUGGCUUGCCCACCCCCACCACUGGGUUUGGCCUUAGGGAGGGGUAAACCAGACCCCAGGCCCCCCAGCCAUGAUCCUCUACCCACUCACCCUUGCUCCAGUGUUAACCACCCAUCACAAGUCAUCUGUGGCUUCCAGGAGACUUCCCCUGAGCCAUGCUGGUGAGCCUAGGACCUGACAUUACAGGUCAGGUCCUAGAGAUCCUAACUGGAGAAGUCCCAGGAAGGGAGGCUUCAAGUACUGACUUGUAAUGUUAAGAAGUGAUGGGGGAAAAAAACAAAAGGUAAUGGAAUAUGUGAGUGCUAGAAGAGACUUGGUGACCUCCAACUCAGCCUUCUUACUUUACACAUGAGAGGCUGAGGUCCUGAGAGGCUGACUCAAGGUUUCACAGUUGCAAACCAGAACCAUAGGUCUUGCUGGCUUGUUUCUUUCCUAGUUUUAUCUCUCCUUGUGACCAGAAAUGGCUCCUUCACCUCCCAGUCACCAUCUGAGAAAAAGCCUGCCUCAGGGCUGUACACUAGUUGGGGACAGGGGAAUGGAGACAUGGUUCCUCUAAGGUUCCAGAUUGGGUCAUGAGCUCUAAACCCCAAAGCACUUGGUUUAUACGUUGGUUUAACCUGUGGCUUAUAAUUAUUUAUGAGUCUGCCUUCCCCACUAAACUGCGAGUUCCUCCAGGGCAGAGACCAAGUCUUACUCAUUUUUGUGACCACAGUCCUGGCCUAAAGGAGGCAUUAAAUACAUGUUGGGUAAACUGGAUGGACUGGGGGGGGGGGGGUGCUGGAUAGGUUGGGGAGGGUGAGGUAGCUGGACCAAUUAUGUUGGGGGCUUAAGAGAUCACCAGAUAAUUCCUCCUUCUCUCAGUUCAAAAUAAAUUGAGAAAUAAGACAUAAAAGACAGACAUGAAAAAGUGGUUUUACCAGUAUUUCUGACAAAGCUGAUUAGAGAAUGUGGCCAAAUGUGCUUGUUAAUGAUCUAAAACGUGGGGCACCUGGGUGGCUCAGUCGGUUGAGCAUCUGACUCGAUUUCAGCUCAGGUCACGAUCUCGGGGUUGCGCGAUUGAGCCCACAUCAGGCUCCACACUCAGCUGGGAGUCUGCUUCUCUCCUUCCUCUCUAUCUGUCCCUCCCCUGGCUCUGGUACAUAUGCACUCUCUUUCUCUAAAAUGAAUAAAUAAAUCUUUAAAAAAAAUAAUCUCCUAAAACUAACCAUGCUGACCUCCACCCCCAAAAAGAGCAGACCUCUCACUCCCUGGUACAGGGGCAGAACUUUAUCUGGAAGUUUACCAUGUAGAUCAAUGAAGAAUAUGCUACCUUUGCUACAACAGAACCAAAAAAGAGAGGGAGGUCGGUGGAAAGAUUCAGCCCAGCUCCUCCUAAGCCACCAAUCAGACAAGCCUCCUCCCUUGGAAAGGAAGGGUGAGUGAAGAGAAAAGAGGGGGGUGGUCUCACAUUUCACCCUGAAGGAAAGUAGAGUGGGAAUUCCCUUCCUGUAUGGAAACAUUAGUGAGGACAAAUCUCCCACCAUUAGAUGGAAUGAGGUGGAUGAAUGGGUAGAAGGGAGGUUGAGUGAAGGGAAACCCCAUCAUCACAGUGUCUGUGAUACACAGCCAGCUUUCCAAAAUAGAAUGCUCAAAUUCUUAUUCUUGUGGUCUGCCUGCCAGAAGGCUCACCUGUGUGUGGAGGUGAGGAGAGGCCAUUGCCUCCUAUGAGCUGAAAUAAGAGGCCAAAUCUCAGAGCCACAGUCCACUGACACAACCGGAGGGCCAUGUUCACAUUCAGGGCCAGCCUUUGGUCUAGAAAGGGCCCAAGACUGACUGAGGAGAGCUUCCCUUGCUGGUUCAUUUGUCUUCAGUGUCACCGAGCCCCUGCCCUUUUGUGCUUGAGAAAGCUCUAGAAUCCAGCAUGUACUAAACUACUGUUCCUCUCAGUCAGGCACUUGCCAUAGAAUAGCCCAUUUAUUCCUUAUAAAAACCUGGUGAAGGAAAUGAUGUUGGUCCCAUUUUACAGAUUAAGCCACUGUGACUUGACUGUUGAAUUUACCCAUUAAGUCACAGAGCCAGUGGGACCUCCUGAAGGCCUGUGUGGGUGCUCAAGAACUGAACCACACCCAUCUGGGUUGUUUCUAGGAGUCUAGUGCUUUGGGCCUCUCCCCCUGGGAGGUGGGGGGAGGGUUGCUUCCUAAGUUACCCUAAAACACUGCUCUAGGAAUCUUGCCAACCUUGUGCUGUCGUCCGUACAACAAGAACCAGCAACUUAGCAAGGCCCUCUCCAGUGUGGCUCCAGAUGGCCUUUCCACCAGUUCUUCCUCUGCGCCACAGCCCCCAUCUUCCUUCGAUAGUCACAGCCUCAGCCUUCUAGUCCUCCCGCUGGGAAUACCCUGCUUGCCAUUUUGCACACCCGUAAGUCUUUCUCAUCCUUUGAUCGCCAGCACUGGGAACAUUCACUGCUUCUUCCAGUGUCUCUAGGUCAUAUGUCACUUCACCUUGAUUUAAAGGAUUGGGUAUACCCUGGCUCUCCUACUACCCCUGGCUGCUCCUCCCAGGAGUAUUGUCUCCCCUGACCCAGAAGUGCCACAUAAAAGGUGUGUGGCAGUGUUGGCAUCAGAGCAGCCUGCAACUGAGGGGCUGCAGCUCAACCUUUGCUCCUACUGUCCCCACAUGACAGUCACCUGCCCAGGUACCACUUGGCUUAUAAGAGACAACAGACAGGGCUAAGUGCCCCCCAGGAUGGCAGAAUGAUGCCAAGCAGGCGCUGACACAUCUCCUGGACAUGACAUCUUUCUUCCUUUUAAUAACAGUUAUUAAGGGGCCUGUGCCAACACACUGAAGUGAGGGGCUGGGCUUUGCUAUCUGUAUGGCUCCUAUCGCACUGGGUCUCCACCCCUAGGCCCAGCCCCAAGGCCAGGAUACAUCGGUUGUUUGUAUUGGCCUUGGAUUGCCCUUUACCCGUUCAGCCCAUAGAAGGGGCAGCCAGUCUUGCAACCUGGGGAAUUUGAUUUGAUUUACACACUUUUGUGAUCAGGACAUCAGGGAUACCUUAGAGCCUUUUCCACUUCAGUUCAGUCUGCCCAUCCCUGCUUCCUCAGUUGAUCUUGUAUACACACCCAGUACUGCACUCCAGAGUUAAGGUCAGAGACUUCCGAGGCUGCCCAGACACUCCCGAGGCUGCCCAGACACUCAUGCACACAAAUAGAUCUGUACCCAGACAUGCACACAAGUACACCUAGACACAUGCAUACUUUGGUAAGCAUACACUGAUAUAUGAUUAUUUAGACAGCCAGGCAGACAUACAAACAUCACAGAUAGUAUGUUCAUGUACCUACAUGCACAGGUAGUUCUGCAUGGGCAUGUGUAGGUACAUUGAGUUGAGCCAUAUGAAAUUACUAGUAUUCAGUGUUGUUGUUUUCUUCCAAAAAUAGAAUCUAGAAGUGCCUGGCUAACUCAGUUGGUAGAGCAUGCGAUUCCUGAUCUCAGGGUUGUGAGUUCAAGUCCCACACUGGUGUAGAACUUACUUAAAAAAGGGGGCACCUGGGUAGCUCAGUUGGUUAAGUGUCUGCCCUCAGCUCAGGUCAUGAUCCUGGGGUCCUAGGAUCAAGCCCUGCAUCAGGCUCUCUGCUCAGUGAGGCGUCUGCUUGUCCCUCUCUCUCUGUCCUUUCCCCCUAUGUGUGCUCUCUCUCAAAUAAAAUCUUAGAGAAUCUGCAGCCUCAGUGGUGCAGCAGUUUAGCGCCGCCUGCAGCCCAGGGUGUGAUCCUGGAGACCCGGGAUCGAGUCCCACAUCAGGCUCCUUGCAUGGAGCCUGCUUCUCCCUCUGCCUGUGUCUCUGCCUCUCUCUCUCUCUCUCUGUGGUUCUCAUGAAUCAAUCAAUCAAUCAAUCUUUAAAAAAAAAUCUUAGAGAAUCUAAUACAAAGUGGGCAUGGAGAGAAAUAUAAAAAAAUCUAGAGCCAAAUUGUACACUCCUGUUUAAGCAGUAUUAUUCACAAUAGCCAAAAAGUGGAAACAACCCAAGUGUCCAUCAGUGGAAGAAUGGAUAAGCAAUGGGGUAUAUACACACAAUAGAAUAUUCAGCCUUAAAAAGGAAGGAAAUUCUCACUCAUGCUCCCACAUGGAUGAACCUGGAGGACACUGUGCUAAGUAAAACAUGCUAGUCAUUAAAAGACGAAUACUGUUUGAUUCCACUUACAUGAGAUGCUUAGAGUGGUCAUAUUUAUAGAGUCAGAAAGUAGAAUGGUGGUUACAAGAGGCUGGGGGAGAGCUGUUGUUUAAUUAAGGGUACAGAGUUUCGACUGAGGAAGAUGAAAAAGUUCUGGAGAUGGAUGGUGGUGAUUGUUGCACAACAAUAUGAAUGUACUUAAUUAUACUGAACUGUAUACUUAAAAAUGGUUAAGAUGGUAAACUUUAUAUGUAUUUUACCACAAUUAAAAAUGAUUUUUAAAAAG
rnacentral:lncRNA from 1 species